rnacentral:lncRNA from 1 species
AAAAAAAUAUAUUAUAAACAUUUUUCUGUAACAUUUGUCAUGGUUUAAAAUCAUCCAACUUCUCCGGGAGAAAGUAUAUAAGAUUAAUAUCCCAGUAAAUGAACGGGAAAUACGGCGAUACCGUGUAAUUUUCAGCGUCAACUCCGAAUUGCAUGAAAAUUUGGAUUUAGGUUCUACUUACCCUCCACUUCAAAAUUAAAUUUGUGUCGUUGGUUGCUUUUACUUGGGGGGUGACAUUCACCCCUUCUCGGAGGUAAAAAAACGCUCGUUUAAAGUAAGCCCGGAAAUGGAUAAAUUGACUAAUUCUAAGCAACUUUCCUUCUAUAGAGUUUUUAAGUAAGUCGAUACUUUAAGAGUUAUUUACAAUUGAAAAUGUUUAUUUUUCAACAAAAAACACGUUUCAGCCGGUUUUCCGCAAAUAACUCGAAAACUAAGUACCUAUUUUAUUAAAAAAAUAUAUUCUUAGCAAAAAUGUAGCAUAGAGACAAACGAAAAAAGUUGUGUAUCGGUGAAGUCCAUAGACCCAGCACAAGCAAAGUUGUAGCUCAUGAAAAAUACGUUUUUAUUCGUCAAAUUCCAAAUCGAAUAUUUCAACGUAAAAUAUCGAAAAAAUGAAGCAAUUUUUAAAGUAGAAUACUUUAAAAUGAUAUUGCCAAUAUUUAUGAGUUGCGUUCCUGGGACGACUUUACUGAAAGAUAGUUCAUUGGAUUACAUGAAAUCAACCCCAACGCAAGAAUAUCCGCCACAAAAAAAAUCAUAGCAUGUGAUCUGUCUUUAAAAAGACAACCACAUGCAACGGUUACAGUAAAAUUCUCUUGUUAGAGAUUCCAUAGAACCCGGAUCACGAUUGAAUGUCUGACACACAUUAAUUACAAGACUAAUGCCAGGAAAUCCAACUAUACAAAACACCAAAGAAAUAAAAGUUGCUCUAGUUAAAAUAUGGAAAAAGGUUUCUUACAUUAUGAUAUAAAACAUGCAUUUAAAAAUUUCAAAUUAUAAAACCGCUCUAGUUGUUAGGGAAACCAGGAUCGAAAUAUCACGUAAGGCUUUUAUGACCUGGAAACCAGUUUUAUGCAAUAGAAACCUAUUGAUGCAUAUUCGCAAAAAGAACCUGAAAUUGUUGUGUGGCACAUUUGUCAUUUUGUUUCAUCAGUCGCUGUUUAAAACAAUUAAAAAUGUACUAAUGACUUAACAGAAACUAUAAUUCUGUCAUUAGUCUUUAGUUCAGAAUGAAUGACAAAAAAAUAUAUACAGUAAAACCUCCGUUAACCGAAACCUUUUUAACCGAAACAUCGUUUAACCGAAACGGCUGACACUUUCAAUAAUUUCGUCAAUAAAAAGUAAAUUUUUAUCGAAAAGCAGAAACAAUUCGAUGUUAAUUUGUCAACAUUGUCAACUUUGUUUGCAAACAACUAAAGAACGCAAUUAAAUAUACAACACAUUACGAAAUCACCUCAUUGUAUUGUUUAAUACUAUCUUUGACCAAGAAUACUAUGCAGUUUGAUACAAGAAGAAUACAAAACCCAUGUUAUUUUUAACCGAAAUUCUUGUUAUCCGAAACGGCUUCCCCCCCCCCAAUUAUUUCGGUUAAAGGAGGUUUUACUGUAAUAAUAAUAGUCUCCUGUUUUAUAUCCAGUGCUACGCUUCAACCGCCUAUUAUCACCAAGGUACUCGUUUUAUUCAGACUGAGUCGACCUGGGGCCUAUAGACAUUUUAAAUAUGUCUAGAUGUUCUCGCCGGCGGCGCUGGGAUUCGAUCCCGGCCUACCUGCGUGGAAGUCAGACAUCCUACCGCCUCGCCUGAGCUAUCCGGCCCAUGACAAAAAAGCAUAUUGAAAUAAAUCUUGACAUCCGUACUUAAGUGGUUAAUGAAUAACAAAAACACUAAAAAUAAUAUAAUGAAAACACAAAGAACUGGGAGGAAAAACCUGGAUGAAAGUAUUAAAGAAACAAUGACAAAGUCAUAAUGUAAUAUAUGUACAUUAAAUACUUGUAAAUAUAAUUAAUUAGUUAAACAUACAUACUUGUAAUAGUACUUAAUGCUACAUAGUUUUAUAAAUAAAUAAAAUUUGAUAACUCUAUUCUUUGUUAAAACAAAAAAGAAUUCUAAAAUGGCAGAUUCAAUGUUGUUUCUUUAAAUUUGUUGGUGUAUUUUUCGAUGGUUUUAGAAAUUAAACACAUCCACAAAUUAAAAACCUAAAAGAUACAGAAGCACACAAAGUUUAUUUGUAAAAAGAUUCUUACAGUUUUACAAAGUUAAAUAUAGUAAAAAUGCAACUUUCCCAGGCAAAGUUAAAUAACUUUAAUCUGUUUACAGUAUGUAUUGUGUAUGUACAAAAUUUAAAGUAUACAUAAACUAAUAUUAAUAGUCAGAAAUUAAUUAAAUAUAGAAUACCCUUAACUUAAUCAAUCCUGUGAUGUAUCACCAAAAUUAUUUUUAAAGUUUUGUUGUUAAUUUAACUAUGACAGAUAACUGUCUCGAUAACUCUUAACGUAAAUUCCGUGUGAUGUAUCACUCAUCGUUACGAGAUGUAACGAGUUAUUAUUUCCCAGGAGUUAAAAAUGAAGUAUGUAUUGUUUUUUCUUCAACAAAGUUGGUCUUCUAACAAAGAAAACCUUAUGUAGAAACAGUACAAGUUGGAGCUAGAAAGAGAAUAAUGAAAAUGUAUACCCACUAAACACCUGCUUGGUGGUAUAUCAUAAAAGUAGAUAGAAAGAACAGUAAAACUCCUGUAUGUUUAUAAAUUUAAAAACAUAUUUAUUAUUGUAUCUCUCGAUUUGUCUUUUGUAUAAUGUUUCUAUUUUUAAAAGUGUGUUUUACCGUUCUAUUUUUUUUAUCUUGAAUUAUUUUAAUUUUAUUAGUAAUUACGUGUUUUAUUGAUUAAAUUAAUCAAAUGCCGCGCAAGGUCC